rnacentral:rRNA from 1 species
AACGAACGCUGGCGGCAUGCCUAACACAUGCAAGUCGAACGAACCCUUCGGGUGAGUGGCGCACGGGUGCGUAACGCGUGGGAACCUGCCCUUAGGUUCGGAAUAACAGUGAGAAAUCGCUGCUAAUACCGGAUAAUGUCUUCGGACCAAAGAUUUAUCGCCUUUGGAUGGGCCCGCGUUGGAUUAGCUAGUUGGUGGGGUAAAGGCUCACCAAGGCGACGAUCCAUAGCUGGUCUUAGAGGAUGAUCAGCCACACUGGGACUGAGACACGGCCCAGACUCCUACGGGAGGCAGCAGUGGGGAAUAUUGCGCAAUGGGCGAAAGCCUGACGCAGCCACGCCGCGUGAGCGAUGAAGGCCUUCGGUCGUAAAGCUCUGUGGGGGA